GACGUAGGGGGCAAGCGUUGUUCGGAAUUAUUGGGCGUAAAGCGCUCGUAAGCGGGACUGUAAGUCCGUGUUGAAAGACCUCGGCUCAACUGAGGGACCGGCUCGGAUACUAUAGUUCUUGAGGCAAUCAGAGGGUGAUGGAAUUCCCGGUGUGGCGGUGAAAUGCGUAGAUAUCGGGAGGAACACCAGUGGCGAAGGCGAUCACCUGGGGUUGUUCUGACGCUGAGGAGCGAAAGCUAGGGGAGCAAACGGG
rnacentral:rRNA from 1 species